AUUCAGCUUCCGGGCUAAUUAGCAGUCGCGGUGUGCCGCUACGUGCGGGCUCUCAAGGAGCUCAGCCUCCCGGACGGAGCCGGCGGCUGCGGGGCGAGGACGGCGGCGGACCGGGGCAGCCCCGCGCCCUGGCCAGCUCUACUGAGAUGAAGAAAGAAAAAGAAUACCUGCUCAGCUCCAGAGACACGUAAAGGGACAGAGAUUGGGGGACAGAAGGAAGUGCAUUAAUUCCUUCCACGACCCCUGAAGAGCAGCGGUGGGUCUGAGCAUCCUAUCUCCAGGAAGCAGGCCAGCAGGCAAGCCAGCUGCCACCUCGUCCUGUGCAAAGCACAGGCACCGUCCCCAAAAGAUAUAGAAGACUUAGAUCACUACGAGAUGAAAGCAGAGCCCAUUAGUGGGAAAAAGUUGGAGGAUGAAGGAAUUGAAAAAGAAAAUUUGGCAAUAUUAGAGAAAUUAGGAAGACUGAAAGACAAGAGCAUUUAACUGCAAACUGUUGUCGUUGUCAACUGGGUUGUCUUCCUGAAGUAUGAAUCCGGUAUGUAUUGUGUGGAGGAGCAUUACGUACUGAACUUCU
rnacentral:lncRNA from 1 species